rnacentral:rRNA from 1 species
GACGAACGCUGGCGGCGUGCCUAAUACAUGCAAGUCGAACGCUGAAGAGAGGAGCUUGCUCUUCUUGGAUGAGUUGCGAACGGGUGAGUAACGCGUAGGUAACCUGCCUUGUAGCGGGGGAUAACUAUUGGAAACGAUAGCUAAUACCGCAUAACAAUGGAUGACACAUGUCAUUUAUUUGAAAGGGGCAAUUGUUCCACUACAAGAUGGACCUGCGUUGUAUUAGUUAGUAGGUGAGGUGAUGGCUCACCUAGGCGACGAUACAUAGCCGACCUGAGAGGGUGAUCGGCCACACUGGGACUGAGACACGGCCCAGACUCCUACGGGAGGCAGCAGUAGGGAAUCUUCGGCAAUGGGGGCAACCCUGACCGAGCAACGCCGCGUGAGUGAAAAAGGGUUUCGGAUCGUAAAGCUCUGUUGUAAGUCAAGAACGAGGAUGAGAGUGGAAAGUUCACACUGUGACGGUAGCUUACCAGAAAGGGACGGCUAACUACGUG